rnacentral:rRNA from 1 species
GAUCAGCCGGUAUUCGUACCGGUGCACUCGCCCGUGGUCAGGCCAGCAUCGGUUUGGGCGGCUGGAUAAAGUCCACCGGAACGUAGCUCCUCUCGGGGAGUGUUAUAGCCGGAGGUGCCAUGCAGCCCGCCCGGACCGAGGACCGCGCUUCGGCUAGGAUGCUGGCGUAAUGGUUGUAAGCGACCCGUCUUGAAACACGGACCAAGGAGUCUAACAUCUAUGCGAGUGUUUGGGUGUCAAACCCAUGCGCGUAAUGAAAGUGAACGGAGGUGGGAACCCUCAAGGGUGCACCAUCGACCGAUCCGGAUGUCUUCGGAUGGAUUUGAGUAAGAGCAUAGCUGUUGGGACCCGAAAGAUGGUGAACUAUGCCUGAAUAGGGUGAAGCCAGAGGAAACUCUGGUGGAGGCUCGCAGCGGUUCUGACGUGCAAAUCGAUCGUCAAAUUUGGGUAUAGGGGCGAAAGACCAAUCGAACCAUCUCUAGGUGGUUAAUUCAGAUGCGGUCAGACGCAUCUUCAGUCUUCUUCAAGGCGACAUCGUCACUUGCGUGAACCUUUCAUUGGAAAUUAACACGCCGCAGUGUGUCCUGCACUGUACACAGACCAGAUGACGGUGGUCGACGCUGUCCCUUCAGCGUCGAUUCAGAUAUGGCCGAGACCGCCUUAGUGUAGUGGCCCCGAAG